rnacentral:rRNA from 1 species
CCUACGGGAGGCAACAGUGGGGGAUAUUGCACAAUGGGGGAAACCCUGAUGCAGCGACGCCGCGUGUGGGAAGACGGUCCUCUGGAUUGUAAACCACUGUCCCCAGGGACGAAGAUGACGGUACCUGGGGAGGAAGCUCCGGCUAACUACGUGCCAGCAGUCGCGGUAAUACGUAGGGAGCGAGCGUUGUCCGGAAUUACUGGGUGUAAAGGGAGCGUAGGCGGGACUGCAAGUUGGGUGUCAAAUCUACCGGCUCAACCGGUAGCCGCACUCAAAACUGCAGUUCUUGAGUGAAGUAGAGGCAGGCGGAAUUCCUAGUGUAGCGGUGAAAUGCGUAGAUAUUAGGAGGAACACCAGUGGCGAAGGCGGCCUGCUGGGCUUUUACUGACGCUGAGGCUCGAAAGUGUGGGGAGCGAACAGGAUUAGAUACCCCGGUAGUC